UACGGGGGGGGCAAGCGUUGUUCGGAAUUACUGGGCGUAAAGGGCUCGUAGGCGGCCAACUAAGUCAGACGUGAAAUCCCUCGGCUUAACCGGGGAACUGCAUCUGAUACUGGAUGGCUUGAGUUCGGGAGAGGGAUGCGGAAUUCCAGGUGUAGCGGUGAAAUGCGCAGAUAUCGGGAGGAACACCAAUGGCGAAGGCAGCUUGCUGGGACGGUACUGACGCUGAGGCGCGAAAGCGUGGGGAGCAAACAGG
rnacentral:rRNA from 1 species